rnacentral:rRNA from 1 species
AGCAGCCGCGGUAAUUCCAGCUCCAAUAGCGUAUAUUAAAGUUGUUGCAGUUAAAAAAGCUCGUAGUUGAAUUUCGGGGUUAGUACGCUGGUCAUGCCUUCGGUAUGUACUGGUGUUACCGAUUCCUACCUUCUGAAGAACCGUCAUGUCAUUAGUUUGGUGUGGCGGGGAAUCAGGACUGUUACUUUGAAAAAAUUAGAGUGUUUAAAGCAGGCUCGCGCUUGAAUACAUUAGCAUGGAAUAAUGAAAUAGGACGUUCGAUCCUAUUUUGUUGGUUUCUAGGAUUGACGUAAUGAUUAAUAGGGAUAGUUGGGGGCAUUAGUAUUCAAUUGUCAGAGGUGAAAUUCUUGGAUUUAUUGAAGACUAACUACUGCGAAAGCAUUUGCCAAGGAUGUUUUCAUUAAUCAAGAACGAAAGUUAGGGGAUCGAAGACGAUCAGAUACCGUCGUA